UUGAAUGAACUUGGUGUGGUUGUCGCUGGCCCUCUCGGGGGCAUGUGCACACCCACCAUCCUCAUCUCUCCACCUGUGCACCUCAUGUAGACUUGGAUUGACUUUCCGAGGCAACUCGGUCGGGAGGACUGCUAGCAUGCUGGCUUUCCUUGCAUUUCCAGGUCUAUGUUUUUCAUAUACCCCAUUGUAUGUAACAGAAUGUAUCAUUGGGCACUUGUGCCUAUAAAACUUAU
rnacentral:misc_RNA from 1 species